rnacentral:rRNA from 1 species
AGAGUUUGAUCAUGGCUCAGAUUGAACGCUGGCGGAAUGCUUUACACAUGCAAGUCGAGCGGCAGGCGCGGGGCAACCUGGCGGCGAGCGGCGAACGGGUGAGUAAUACAUCGGAACGUGCCCAGACGUGGGGGAUAACUACUCGAAAGAGUGGCUAAUACCGCAUACGAUCUAAGGAUGAAAGCGGGGGAUCGCAAGACCUCGCGCGUUUGGAGCGGCCGAUGGCAGAUUAGGUAGUUGGUGGGGUAAAGGCUUACCAAGCCCGCGAUCUGUAGCUGGUCUGAGAGGAUGAUCAGCCACACUGGGACUGAGACACGGCCCAGACUCCUACGGGAGGCAGCAGUGGGGAAUUUUGGACAAUGGGCGAAAGCCUGAUCCAGCCAUUCCGCGUGCAGGAUGAAGGCCCUCGGGUUGUAAACUGCUUUUGUACAGAACGAAAAAGCUCUUUCUAAUACAGAGAGUCCAUGACGGUACUGUAAGAAUAAGCACCGGCUAACUACGUG